AAAUUUAAUAGGCAAACCUUGGGAAACCUUGGGACGCAAAGCUAAAGGGACUAAAGUUUUAAACUAUGUCAGCCAGUUGCCGAA
rnacentral:ncRNA from 1 species